rnacentral:rRNA from 1 species
UUUGGAUCAGUGGCGAACGGGUGAGUAACACGUGAGCAAUCUGCCCUUGACUCUGGGAUAAGCGUUGGAAACGACGUCUAAUACCGGAUACGACCCUCGGAGGCAUCUUCAGGGGGUGGAAAGAAUUUUGGUCAAGGAUGAGCUCGCGGCCUAUCAGCUUGUUGGUGAGGUAAUGGCUCACCAAGGCGACGACGGGUAGCCGGCCUGAGAGGGUGACCGGCCACACUGGGACUGAGACACGGCCCAGACUCCUACGGGAGGCAGCAGUGGGGAAUAUUGCACAAUGGGCGCAAGCCUGAUGCAGCAACGCCGCGUGAGGGACGACGGCCUUCGGGUUGUAAACCUCUUUUAGUAGGGAAGAAGCGAAAGUGACGGUACCUGCAGAAAAAGCACCGGCUAACUACGUGCCAGCAGCCGCGGUAAUACGUAGGGUGCAAGCGUUGUCCGGAAUUAUUGGGCGUAAAGAGCUCGUAGGCGGUUUGUCGCGUCUGCUGUGAAAACCCGAGGCUCAACCUCGGGCCUGCAGUGGGUACGGGCAGACUAGAGUGCGGUAGGGGAGAUUGGAAUUCCUGGUGUAGCGGUGGAAUGCGCAGAUAUCAGGAGGAACACCGAUGGCGAAGGCAGAUCUCUGGGCCGUAACUGACGCUGAGGAGCGAAAGCAUGGGGAGCGAACAGGAUUAGAUACCCUGGUAGUCCAUGCCGUAAACGUUGGGAACUAGAUGUGGGGGCCAUUCCACGGUCUCCGUGUCGCAGCUAACGCAUUAAGUUCCCCGCCUGGGGAGUACGGCCGCAAGGCUAAAACUCAAAGGAAUUGACGGGGGCCCGCACAAGCGGCGGAGCAUGCGGAUUAAUUCGAUGCAACGCGAAGAACCUUACCAAGGCUUGACAUAUACCGGAAACGUCUGGAAACAGUCGCCCCGCAAGGUCGGUAUACAGGUGGUGCAUGGUUGUCGUCAGCUCGUGUCGUGAGAUGUUGGGUUAAGUCCCGCAACGAGCGCAACCCUCGUCCUAUGUUGCCAGCACGUAAUGGUGGGAACUCAUGGGAUACUGCCGGGGUCAACUCGGAGGAAGGUGGGGAUGACGUCAAAUCAUCAUGCCCCUUAUGUCUUGGGCUUCACGCAUGCUACAAUGGCCGGUACAAAGGGCUGCAAUACCGUAAGGUGGAGCGAAUCCCAAAAAGCCGGUCUCAGUUCGGAUUGAGGUCUGCAACUCGACCUCAUGAAGUCGGAGUCGCUAGUAAUCGCAGAUCAGCAACGCUGCGGUGAAUACGUUCCCGGGCCUUGUACACACCGCCCGUCAAGUCAUGAAAGUCGGUAACACCCGAAGCC